CCAAAACUCAACUUUAACUAGGAUUUUUAAAUUACCUGACUCUCUUUAAAAUGCCUCUAAAAAUCUUUAUAUUGUUGUCUGAUAAGUAGAACAUAAAUUAAGGGGUCGAGAGUUUUAACAAAAUUAUGAUGUACCGAUUAUUGUUCAUUCCACAAAAACAAAUAAACCCUAAAAUGCAAUAAAAACUAAAAGCCCAAAUAAUUCAUGUAAAAUAACAACUUGUCAUACCUAUAUUGUGAAAAAAUUGGGAG
rnacentral:misc_RNA from 1 species